rnacentral:rRNA from 1 species
UUUUUUCAUCGGCUUAUAAGUUUUUAAGUUAAAAAGUGUAACAAGGUUUCCGUAGGUGAACCUGCGGAAGGAUCAUU